rnacentral:rRNA from 1 species
GAAUUCGCCCUUAGAGUUUGAUCCUGGCUCAGGACGAACGCUGGCGGCGCGCCUAACACAUGCAAGUCGAACGAGAGAUGAGGAGCUUGCUCUUCAAAUCGAGUGGCGAACGGGUGAGUAACGCGUGAGGAACCUGCCUCAAAGAGGGGGACAACAGUUGGAAACGACUGCUAAUACCGCAUAAGCCCACAGCUCGGCAUCGAGCAGAGGGAAAAGGAGCAAUCCGCUUUGAGAUGGCCUCGCGUCCGAUUAGCUAGUUGGUGAGGUAACGGCCCACCAAGGCGACGAUCGGUAGCCGGACUGAGAGGUUGAACGGCCACAUUGGGACUGAGACACGGCCCAGACUCCUACGGGAGGCAGCAGUGGGGAAUAUUGCACAAUGGGGGAAACCCUGAUGCAGCGACGCCGCGUGGAGGAAGAAGGUCUUCGGAUUGUAAACUCCUGUUGUUGAGGAAGAUAAUGACGGUACUCAACAAGGAAGUGACGGCUAACUACGUGCCAGCAGCCGCGGUAAAACGUAGGUCACAAGCGUUGUCCGGAAUUACUGGGUGUAAAGGGAGCGCAGGCGGGAGAACAAGUUGGAAGUGAAAUCCAUGGGCUCAACCCAUGAACUGCUUUCAAAACUGUUUUUCUUGAGUAGUGCAGAGGUAGGCGGAAUUCCCGGUGUAGCGGUGGAAUGCGUAGAUAUCGGGAGGAACACCAGUGGCGAAGGCGGCCUACUGGGCACCAACUGACGCUGAGGCUCGAAAGUGUGGGUAGCAAACAGGAUUAGAUACCCUGGUAGUCCACACCGUAAACGAUGAUUACUAGGUGUUGGAGGAUUGACCCCUUCAGUGCCGCAAUUAACACAAUA